rnacentral:tmRNA from 1 species
GGGGGCGUUUCAGAUUCGCUCGGGGGAGCGAUAGCAGAUGUUGCGUGUCGAGAUACCGCUUGGCCUCGUAAAACAGGCGGAAAUUUUUUAAUUGCCAAAAACGAAUACGCUUUAGCCGCUUAAUGCGGCUACAUCCCGCCUUCUGCGCCUGCGGUGAAGGAAUCGGGGUGUCAAAACAGCAGGCUGCCCUCAAUGGCUUCUGUUCGCAGCCAUAAGGGGAGAUAAUCGAACUGGCCAUUGCUCCAUCCUGCUUCCGGGAGUGAGCGAUGGUGAGAACAAAACGGAAGAUACACACGUAGACGCAGUUGCGGUCGCCUUUCGAUACAGGGGUGCAAGUCCCCUCGCCUCCGCCA